rfam:Phytophthora infestans T30-4 supercont1.25 genomic scaffold, whole genome shotgun sequence.
AGCGCAGUGGUAGCGCGUCCGCUUUGCAAGCGGAAGGCCCCGGGUUCAAUCCCCGG